rnacentral:rRNA from 1 species
CAUAACCCCGGGAAACUGGGGAUAAUUCCGGAUAGCGCAUAUUUGCUGGAAUGCUUUAUGCGUCAAAAGGAUUCGUCUGCCCAAGGAUGGGUCUGCGGCCUAUCAGGUAGUAGUGGGUGUAAUGUACCUACUAGCCAGCGACGGGUACGGGUUGUGAGAGCAAGAGCCCGGAGAUGGAUUCUGAGACAUGAAUCCAGGCCCUACGGGGCGCAGCAGGCGCGAAAACUUUACAAUGUGGGAAACCGUGAUAAGGGGGCACCGAGUGCCAGCAUCAUAUGCUGGCUGUCCGGAUGUGUAAAAUACAUCCGUUAGCAAGGGCCGGGCAAGACCGGUGCCAGCCGCCGCGGUAACACCGGCGGCCCGAGUGGUGAUCGUGAUUAUUGGGCCUAAAGGGUCCGUAGCCGGUUUGGUCAGUCCUCCGGGAAAUCUGAUAGCUCAACUAUUAGGCUUUCGGGGGAUACUGCCAGACUUGGAACCGGGAGAGGUAAGAGGUACUACAGGGGUAGGAGUGAAAUCUUGUAAUCCCUGUGGGACCACCUGUGGCGAAGGCGUCUUACCAGAACGGGUUCGACGGUGAGGGACGAAAGCUGGGGGCACGAACCGGAUUAGAUACCCGGGUAGUCCCAGCCGUAAACGAUGCUCGCUAGGUGUCAGGCAUGGCGCGACCGUGUCUGGUGCCGCAGGGGAGCCGUGAAGCGAGCCACCUGGGAAGUACGGCCGCAAGGCUGAAACUUAAAGGAAUUGGCGGGGGGAGCACAACAACGGGUGGAGCCUGCGGUUUAAUUGGACUCAACGCCGGACAACUCACCGGGGGCGACAGCAAUAUGUAGGCCAAGCUGAAGACUUUGUCUGAAUCGCUGAGAGGAGGUGCAU